CGUCAGGUAGAGAAUACCGAGGCGAUCGGGCGAACUGUGGUUAAGGAACUCGGCAAAUUACCCCCGUAACUUCGGGAGAAGGGGGGCCACAGACCGUGAAACCCCAUGCGGGUGGCAGCGGUAGGUGGCCGCAGAGACCAGGGGGAAGCGACUGUUUACUAAAUACACAGGUCCGUGCGAAGUCGUAAGACGAUGUAUACGGACUGACGCCUGCCCGGUGCUGGAACGUUAAGGGGACCGGUUAGUCCGCAAGGGCGAAGCUGAGAACUUAAGCGCCAGUAAACGGCGGUGGUAACUAUAACCAUCCUAAGGUAGCGAAAUUCCUUGUCGGGUAAGUUCCGACCUGCACGAAUGGCGUAACGACUUCCCUACUGUCUCAACCACAGGCCCGGCGAAAUUGCACUACGAGUAAAGAUGCUCGUUACGCGCGGAAGGACGGAAAGACCCCGGGACCUUCACUAUAGCUUGACAUUGGUACUCGAAUUUAAUUGUGUAGGAUAGGUGGGAGACUAUGAAGCUCGGACGCCAGUCCGGGUGGAGUCAACGUUGAAAUACCACUCUGUUGAAUUUGGGUAUCUAACCUCGGACCGUGAUCCGGUUCAGGGACAGUGUCUGGUGGGUAGUUUAACUGGGGCGGUUGCCUCCUAAAAUGUAACGGAGGCGCCCAAAGGUUCCCUCAGCCUGGUUGGCAAUCAGGUGUUGAGUGCAAGUGCACAAGGGAGCUUGACUGUGAGACUGACAGGUCGAGCAGGGACGAAAGUCGGGACUAGUGAUCCGGCACCGGCGAGUGGAAGCGGUGUCGCUCAACGGAUAAAAGGUACCCCGGGGAUAACAGGCUGAUCUUCCCCAAGAGUCCAUAUCGACGGGAUGGUUUGGCACCUCGAUGUCGGCUCGUCGCAUCCUGGGGCUGGAGUAGGUCCCAAGGGUUGGGCUGUUCGCCCAUUAAAGCGGCACGCGAGCUGGGUUUAGAACGUCGUGAGACAGUUCGGUCCCUAUCCUCCGCGCGCGCAGGAGACUUGAGAAGAGCUGUCCCUAGUACGAGAGGACCGGGACGGACGAACCUCUGGUGUGCCAGUUGUCAUGCCAAUGGCACGGCUGGUUAGCUACGUUCGGAAGGGAUAACCGCUGAAAGCAUCUAAGCGGGAAGCUCGCUUCAAGAUGAGGUCUCCCACCCCUCGAGGGUUAAGGCCCCCAGCAAGACCACUGGGUUGAUAGGCCAGAAGUGUAAGCCUGGUAACAGGUUCAGCCGACUGGUACUAAUAGGCCGAGGACUUCAA
rnacentral:rRNA from 1 species